rnacentral:rRNA from 1 species
CCUACGGGAGGCAGCAGUGAGGAAUAUUGGUCAAUGGGCGCGAGCCUGAACCAGCCAAGUAGCGUGAAGGAUGACUGCCCUACGGGUUGUAAACUUCUUUUAUAAGGGAAUAAAGUGAGGCACGUGUGCCUUUUUGUAUGUACUUUAUGUAUAAGGAUCGGCUAACUCCGUUCCAGCAGCCGCGGUAAUACGGAGGAUCCGCGCGUUAUCCGGAUUUAUUGGGUUUAAAGGGAGCGUAGAUGGGUUGUUAAGUCAGUUGUGAAAGUUUACGGCUCAACCGUAAAAUUGCAAUUGAUACUGGCAGCCUUGAGUACAGGUGAGGUAGGCGGAAUUCGUGGUGUAGCGGUGAAAUGCGUAGAUAUCACGAAGAACUCCGAUGGCGAAGGCAGCUUACUAAACUGCCACUGACAUUGAUGCUCGAAAGUGUGGGUAUCAAACAGGAUUAGAUACCCUUGUAGUC